rnacentral:rRNA from 1 species
CAGUCGAGCGAGCUUGCCUAUAGAAAUUCUUCGGAAUGGACAUAGAUACAAGCUAGCGGCGGAUGGGUGAGUAACGCGUGGGUAACCUGCCCUUAAGUCUGGGAUACCAUUUGGAAACAGAUGCUAAUACCGGAUAAAAGCUACUUUCGCAUGAAAGAAGUUUAAAAGGCGGCGUAAGCUGUCGCUAAAGGAUGGACCUGCGAUGCAUUAGCUAGUUGGUAAGGUAACGGCUUACCAAGGCGAUGAUGCAUAGCCGAGUUGAGAGACUGAUCGGCCACAUUGGGACUGAGACACGGCCCAAACUCCUACGGGAGGCAGCAGUAGGGAAUCUUCCACAAUGGACGAAAGUCUGAUGGAGCAACGCCGCGUGAGUGAAGAAGGUUUUCGGAUCGUAAAGCUCUGUUGUUGGUGAAGAAGGAUAGAGGUAGUAACUGGCCUUUAUUUGACGGUAAUCAACCAGAAAGUCACGGCUAACUACGUGCCAGCAGCCGCGGUAAUACGUAGGUGGCAAGCGUUGUCCGGAUUUAUUGGGCGUAAAGCGAGCGCAGGCGGAUUGAUAAGUCUGAUGUGAAAGCCUUCGGCUCAACCGAAGAACUGCAUCAGAAACUGUCAAUCUUGAGUGCAGAAGAGGAGAGUGGAACUCCAUGUGUAGCGGUGGAAUGCGUAGAUAUAUGGAAGAACACCAGUGGCGAAGGCGGCUCUCUGGUCUGUAACUGACGCUGAGGCUCGAAAGCAUGGGUAGCGAACAGGAUUAGAUACCCUGGUAGUCCAUGCCGUAAACGAUGAGUGCUAAGUGUUGGGAGGUUUCCGCCUCUCAGUGCUGCAGCUAACGCAUUAAGCACUCCGCCUGGGGAGUACGACCGCAAGGUUGAAACUCAAAGGAAUUGACGGGGGCCCGCACAGCGG